rnacentral:rRNA from 1 species
GAUUAGCUAGUAGGUGGGGUAACGGCUCACCUAGGCGACGAUCCCUAGCUGGUCUGAGAGGAUGACCAGCCACACUGGAACUGAGACACGGUCCAGACUCCUACGGGAGGCAGCAUG